UACGAAGGGUGCAAGCGUUACUCGGAAUUACUGGGCGUAAAGCGUGCGUAGGUGGUGAGUUAAGUCUGUCGUGAAAGCCCCGGGCUCAACCUGGGAAUGGCGAUGGAUACUGGCUCGCUAGAGUGCGGUAGAGGGUGGUGGAAUUCCUGGUGUAGCGGUGAAAUGCGCAGAUAUCAGGAGGAACACCGGUGGCGAAGGCGGGUCUCUGGGCCGAUACUGACGCUGAGGAGCGAAAGCGUGGGGAGCGAACAGG
rnacentral:rRNA from 1 species